rnacentral:RNase_P_RNA from 2 species
CAAGCAGGCCGCCUUAUCGUUCCGACAUUUCCCGAUAGCUAUCGGGAUCGGAGAGGAAAGUCCGGACACCAUAGGGUAGCAUAAUGGGUAACGCCCAUCGGUCGUGAGAUUAGGACAAGUGCAACAGAAAGAAUGUACAGGUUAAGCUGUAGUGAAACCAGGUAAACUCUAUGCGGUGCAAUGCCAUGUAAACCGGCAUCUAAGGAUCGCCCGUCCGUUGCCGGAGGGUAGGCAGCUAAAAAUUAGUGGCAACGCUAAUUUCAGAUAAAUGAUAAGGAGCCCGAUCAAUUAUCGGGUGACAGAAUCCGGCUUACAGGCCUGCUUUUUUA